GGCAGCAGGCCUACACAUGCAAGUCGAGCGGAUGACGGGAGCUUGCUCCUUGAUUCAGCGGCGGACGGGUGAGUAAUGCCUAGGAAUCUGCCUGGUAGUGGGGGACAACGUUUCGAAAGGAACGCUAAUACCGCAUACGUCCUACGGGAGAAAGCAGGGGACCUUCGGGCCUUGCGCUAUCAGAUGAGCCUAGGUCGGAUUAGCUAGUUGGUGGGGUAAUGGCUCACCAAGGCGACGAUCCGUAACUGGUCUGAGAGGAUGAUCAGUCACACUGGAACUGAGACACGGUCCAGACUCCUACGGGAGUGCAGCAGUGGGGAAUAUUGGACAAUGGGCGAAAGCCUGAUCCAGCCAUGCCGCGUGUGUGAAGAAGGUCUUCGGAUUGUAAAGCACUUUAAGUUGGGAGGAAGGGCAGUAAGUUAAUACCUUGCUGUUUUGACGUUACCGACAGAAUAAGCACCGGCUAACUCUGUGCCAGCAGCCGCGGUAAUACAGAGGGUGCAAGCGUUAAUCGGAAUUACUGGGCGUAAAGCGCGCGUAGGUGGUUCGUUAAGUUGGAUGUGAAAGCCCCGGGCUCAACCUGGGAACUGCAUCCAAAACUGGCGAGCUAGAGUACGGUAGAGGGUGGUGGAAUUUCCUGUGUAGCGGUGAAAUGCGUAGAUAUAGGAAGGAACACCAGUGGCGAAGGCGACCACCUGGACUGAUACUGACACUGAGGUGCGAAAGCGUGGGGAGCAAACAGGAUUAGAUACCCCUGGUAGUCCACGCCGUAAACGAUGUCAACUAGCCGUUGGAAUCCUUGAGAUUUUAGUGGCGCAGCUAACGCAUUAAGUUGACCGCCUGGGGAGUACGGCCGCAAGGUUAAAACUCAAAUGAAUUGACGGGGGCCCGCACAAGCGGUGGAGCAUGUGGUUUAAUUCGAAGCAACGCGAAGAACCUUACCAGGCCUUGACAUGCAGAGAACUUUCCAGAGAUGGAUUGGUGCCUUCGGGAACUCUGACACAGGUGCUGCAUGGCUGUUCGUCAGCUCGUGUCGUGAGAUGUUGGGUUAAGUCCCGUAACGAGCGCAACCCUUGUCCUUAGUUACCAGCACGUUAAUGGGUCGGGCACUUCUAAGGAGACUGCCGGUGACAAACUCGGAGGAAGGUGGGGAUGACGUCAAGUCAUCAUGGCCCUUACGGCCUGGGGCUAUCACACGUGCUACAAUGGUCGGUACAGAGGGUUGCCAAGCCGCGAGGUGGAGCUAAUCUCACAAAACCGAUCGUAGUCCGGAUCGCAGUCUGCAACUCGACUGCGUGAAGUCGGAAUCGCUAGUAAUCGCGAAUCAGAAUGUCGCGGUGAAUACGUUCCCGGGCCUUGUACACACCGCCCGUCACACCAUGGGAGUGGGUUGCACCAGAAGUAGCUAGUCUAACCUUCGGGAGGACGGUACCACGGUGG
rnacentral:rRNA from 1 species